rnacentral:lncRNA from 1 species
CCUCUCACAGGCCUACAAAGGCCCAUGCAUUCAAAUUUCAAUUUCCAUGCACAUGACCCAAGUGUGAUAAUCUGAAACCUUCAGCUAUAAAUAGAGGCUUCAUGAGCUUCAUUUCACAACCUUUUGGAGAUCCCUUAUGCUGCUGCACUGAAACCAUAAUCCUCACCAAAGGAAUCACUCAUAAUUUUUUUCAGAUUUUCGAGCUUGAAAUUCAGCAACA